AGGUAAGCUACUAAGAGCGAAUGGUGGAUGCCUUGACUGGUAAAGGCGAUGAAGGACGUACUAGACUGCGAUAAGCUACGGGGAGCUGUCAAGAAGCUUUGAUCCGUAGAUUUCCGAAUGGGGCAACCCAAUGUAUAGAGAUAUACAUUACCUAUAUAGGAGCGAACGAGGGGAAUUGAAACAUCUUAGUACCCUCAGGAAAAGAAAUCAAUAGAGAUUGCGUCAGUAGCGGCGAGCGAAAGCGCAAGAGGGCAAACCCAGUGCUUGCACUGGGGGUUGUAGGACUGCAAUGUGCAAGAGGUAAGUUUAGCAGAACAUUCUGGAAAGUAUAACCAUAGAGGGUGAUAGUCCCGUAUGCGAAAAACAAACCUUAGCUAGCAGUAUCCUGAGUAGGGCGGGACACGAGGAAUCCUGUCUGAAUCCGGGUCGACCACGAUCCAACCCUAAAUACUAAUACCAGAUCGAUAGUGCACAAGUACCGUGAGGGAAAGGUGAAAAGAACUGAGGUGAUCAGAGUGAAAUAGAACCUGAAACCAUUUGCUUACAAUCAUUCAGAGCCCUAUGUAGCAAUACAGGGUGAUGGACUGCCUUUUGCAUAAUGAGCCUGCGAGUUGUGGUGUCUGGCAAGGUUAAGCAAACGCGAAGCCGUAGCGAAAGCGAGUCUGAAUAGGGCGCUUAGUCAGAUGCUGCAGACCCGAAACGAAGUGAUCUAUCCAUGAGCAAGUUGAAGCUAGUGUAAGAACUAGUGGAGGACUGAACCCAUAGGCGUUGAAAAGCCCCGGGAUGACUUGUGGAUAGGGGUGAAAGGCCAAUCAAACUUCGUGAUAGCUGGUUCUCUCCGAAAUAUAUUUAGGUAUAGCGUUGUGUCGUAAUAUAAGGGGGUAGAGCACUGAAUGGGCUAGGGCAUACACCAAUGUACCAAACCCUAUCAAACUCCGAAUACCUUAUAUGUAAUCACAGCAGUCAGGCGGCGAGUGAUAAAAUCCGUCGUCAAGAGGGAAACAACCCAGACUACCAGCUAAGGUCCCUAAAUCUUACUUAAGUGGAAAACGAUGUGAAGUUACUUAAACAACCAGGAGGUUGGCUUAGAAGCAGCCAUCCUUUAAAGAAAGCGUAAUAGCUCACUGGUCUAGUGAUUUUGCGCGGAAAAUAUAACGGGGCUAAAGUAAGUACCGAAGCUGUAGACUUAGUUUACUAAGUGGUAGGAGAGCGUUCUAUUUGCGUCGAAGGUAUACCGGUAAGGAGUGCUGGAGCGAAUAGAAGUGAGCAUGCAGGCAUGAGUAGCGAUAAUUAAUGUGAGAAUCAUUAACGCCGUAAACCCAAGGUUUCCUACGCGAUGCUCGUCAUCGUAGGGUUAGUCGGGUCCUAAGUCGAGUCCGAAAGGGGUAGACGAUGGCAAAUUGGUUAAUAUUCCAAUACCAACAUUAGUGUGCGAUGGAAGGACGCUUAGGGCUAAGGGGGCUAGCGGAUGGAAGUGCUAGUCUAAGGUCGUAGGAGGUUGUACAGGCAAAUCCGUAUAACAAUACUCCGAGAACUGAAAGGCUUUUUGAAGUCUUCGGAUGGAUAGAAGAACCCCUGAUGCCGUCGAGCCAAGAAAAGUUUCUAAGUUUAGCUAAUGUUGCCCGUACCGUAAACCGACACAGGUGGGUGGGAUGAGUAUUCUAAGGCGCGUGGAAGAACUCUCUUUAAGGAACUCUGCAAAAUAGCACCGUAUCUUCGGUAUAAGGUGUGGUUAGCUUUGUAUUAGGAUUUACUCCGAAAGCAAGGAAACUUACAACAAAGAGUCCCUCCCGACUGUUUACCAAAAACACAGCACUCUGCUAACUCGUAAGAGGAUGUAUAGGGUGUGACGCCUGCCCGGUGCUCGAAGGUU
rnacentral:rRNA from 1 species